UGUCAAAUAUUUAUGCAGAUUGUUUCCAAAUGUUUCGGAUGCAUUUAAUAUAUUUUUUUUGAAACGACAAAUAACAGUAGCAUAUGCUAAAAGAAGAUUUUUAAAGAAAAAANAAUUGAAAGUAAAAUUUUUAAAAUUUAAAUUAAUACAAAUCUAAUUAGGAUGUGCAUGUCGUAAGACGAGUUGAAUGUUUUGGCAAUUUUAUCUUGAAAAAGAUACAUUAGAAAAGAUUGCUGAUGUUGAUGAGAUUAAAUUAAUGAUUUUUUAUCUACAAAUGUUAAACGAUUUCGUGUCUUAAUUAAGUUAUGAUAUUGUAUUUGUGUGUGUGUCUUAUGCUAUUGUAUUGUGUGUGUAUUCCACGUGAAUGUCCAUAUAUAGAAAUCAUUUAAAUUGUACAUGGAAUUUUCAAUUUUGUAGAUCAUUUGAAUCGUACAUGGAAUUUACAGUUUGAUUUAUUCUAUAAGUUUUCUUAUAUAUUAUGGCCCUUAUGUGAUAUUUCUUCUUUUGUGGCCAACAUCUAUUUCUAAUAUAAUAUAAAUGGUUUCUAUAUGGCCUUUAUUUCACAUCUAUUUCCAACACUAUAGGCCAAAUUAAUUUCUAUAAAAUGAUUUAUAAUUAUAAAUGGUUUGUACGUGUAAUGUAGCUA
rnacentral:lncRNA from 1 species